GCUGGUGUAGCUCAGUGGUAGAGUGCUCGUUUCACAAACGAGAGGUCGAUGGUUCGAAUCCACCCACCAGCA
rnacentral:tRNA from 1 species